GGGGACAAGGGGAGGACUCGGGGACAAGGGGAGGACACGGGGACAAGGGGAGGACGCGGGGCCCUGAACCCAUCGCUGGAGGGGACAAGGGAACAUCCCCGAGCCUCCCAAAACCCCCCAUGGGGAUCCAGAUCUUGGUCCCACAGCCCUUUCCCGACUGUCCCCUCUGUCCCCACCCCGCAGAGGUGGCCCGCUGUCACCAGGGCCAUUCACCACCUGUAUUUAUGUAUUUCCUUGCACCUCACGGCGCUGUCACACCCGCAGUGCCCAGACGAGCACAGACACCAUUUACACACCAUUUACACACCAUUUACACACCAUUUACACACCAUUUACACACCAUUUUCCAGCUCUCUCCGUGCCCAGGCCCAGCCCAGCCCCUCGGAGCCCCCCAGUUAAAAUGUACUGAAGCCCCUGAGGGUCCCCAGCCCCGGGAGGGGACACAGGGCUGAGCUGGGAGCGGGGGGUGCACAGAGGAGGGGGCUGCCACCCCUGGGGACCCCCGGGUGGGCUCAGUCGCGCCUUUGGGGACAGAGGAUGAAGCACAAAGAGCCCCGGGUGUGGCACUGCUGGCACGGGGUGGCACUGCCAGCCUGGGAUAGGGACCGGAUUCCUUCAUCCCUUCAAAAAUCAACUCCAAACCUCCGUGCGGGGCCAGCCGGAGCCCCGGGGCAGUGACAGGGACAAGGAGGUGACACCGCCAGGGGACACCGCCAGGGGACACCGCCAGGGGACACUGGCAGGUGACACCGCCAGGGGACACUGCUCGGGUGGCUCCUGGGAGGGGCCAGGGAGAACAAAGGGAAGGCACGGCCUGAGCUGGGAAUUGAGGAGGAAAAGCGGCUUUUCCCUGAUUUUCUCCAUCGUUUUGGCCCCACAUCCCCCAGGCUGCAGCACAGGAGCCUCUGCCGGGCUUUGGAACAGAGGGAGGGCAGAAACCUCAUCCUGGAUGGCACAAAAGGGAGCAAAAGGGAAUAAACGCCCCAAAACAGCCCCCAGGCCCCUCGAGCACACAACCCCUCAGCAGAAAACCAAAAUGUUUCAGGACAUUUUCCAGGACACUGCAGCCAAGAACCUUUUCACACUGACCCCAAUCCAUUUCUAUCCUGCCAAAACCUCCCAAACUACCCCAAAACUCACGACAGCAGCACCCAGCCAUGAACAGCAGAGAGAAAAUCAAACAGAAAUACAAAGGGAAUUACAGAGAUGGGCAGAAAACAGGAAUUUGUUGGUUUGGAACAACCCCUGUGGCAGCACUUCCCACCUGCCCCAUCCUCACCCUGCCACGGAAUCGGGAUAAAAGGAGCUGCAGCAUCUCCAAAGCCCAGAAAUUCCUUUGUUUUUUGGGUUGCACUGGAUCUGCUCAGCCUUGCUGGAGGAUCUGCUACCCCACGAUCUGUUUCCCUGGAACUGGGCUGUGCUGAGAGGUAAAUCCAGGCUCCAGAAGAUUCUGCUGGAGGUGGGGACGCUCCAGGCCCUGCUCCACAACCACGGAGGAUCCAGGGAGAGGAACAGCUCAGGGGAUGAGAUCCAAGGGGCUGCCCCAGCCAGCCCAGAGGGAGUUUGGGAUGGGAUGGGAUCCUCAGCCAGGGCUGGCUCUGCGCUGGAGCUGCUCCAGAGCUCCCCUGACACCUCAGGAACCCCAGGAUGGAGCAAUUCCCCAAUUCCUCCCCAUUUUGGGCACUGAACCCCGGCAGGGCCCCAGGCUGGAGGGGGCUCGGAGCAUCCCGGGGUAUGGAAGGGGUCCCUGGGUCAGCUCCCAGCUCCUCCCACCCCAAACCAUUCCACGAUUCCACACAAACACUCAGAGCACCCCCAGGAGGAGCUGCCCCACGCAGGAGGUGAAUUUUCCCCAAGAGAUUCCCCCAGUGAGACACGGCUUGGAAAAUGGUGUUUAUUGGUAUUUAUAAAUAUAAACAUCAGGAAGAGUCCAUUUGAAGACGGAUAAUUGACUUAAAAGGACACUGUCAAGAAGUUUGAGCUACCUUAAUGCUGUCACCCUGGUCUGCAAACAGAAAAUAAAAUUGCUUUGGGUUCUGUGUUCCGGAGUUUUCCCUGGAAAACUCUGCUCUGUUACAAAGGGAUCAGUCAGCCCUGGCUCCAAAAUCCCGCUCUUCGCUCUCCCCUGCCACAGUAGGAACUAAACAAAAGUGUGGUUUUGUUUAUUAUUUUCCCAGAGUUGUGCAAAUCCUGUGAUUGCCGGGUGACCCCUCGCCCGUCCAGUCCGUCACCACCCUGAAACCUGGAGAAAGUUCUGGAAAUGAAGGCGCCCAAGGAGAGGGGGAGAAUCCACAGCGCUAAAGAGGGUUUGAAUAAAUAUCAGGGAUUAAAAGCCGUCUACAGGAGGGCAUUGACAGUAUCCUUUUAACCACAGCAGCCUGGGCUCGCUCCCAGCAGAGCGAGCGCAGACGGGGGGGGAUGGAGGGGAGCAGCUCCGGGACCCUCCUGCUGGGAACAGCAAAUUGUCCUUGGAAUUCCUGGUGGGAAACCCAGCCCAGCCCCUAAAGCAGCCAUGCCUGGGGCUGCAGCUGCCCCCUCCCCACCAGGAGACCCCCAGGACCGAGGAGAGCCCCAGCCCCGAGGGGAGCCCCAGCUCCGAGGGGAGCCCCAGCUCUGAGUGGAACCCCAGCUCUGAGGGGACCCCCAGCUCUGAGGGGAGCCCCAGCUCCAGCUCUGAGGGGACCCCCAGCUCUGGGGGGACCCCCAGUUCUGAGAGGAGCCCCAGCUCCAGGGGGACCCCCAGCUCCAGCUCCGAGGGGACCCCCAGCUCCCGGGUGCAGGGACAGCAGGAAUGAUGGACACGGCCCCCACAGACCUGACCCUGCCCCAUCCUGCCCCCUCCAACCCUCGGGAUCUGCCCAGCAGUUCCACACCGGGCCCCUGGAAUUCGGCCAGCCCAGGGGCUCCCCUGGAGCACCCGCACCGAUUUUGCCUGAAACACCCCCAAAAAAGCAGCCACAGACCCCCCCCUCGCCCAGAGCUGGGCCUGGCACGUCCAAACCCCACCCCGGGGGUCCCAGGGCACCCACACUUACCUGGGGAGGGCGGGAGGAGCCCCGGCAGUGACAGGGAGCAGGGGGGAUCCCAGCCCCUGCUCCGUCAGGGAAUCCUGAAUUCCAAGCAAAAACCUCUGCUUUGCUUUUCCUCGGGGAAAGGACAGCAGGAGGGAACUCACAGUGGCUGGAACAGGGACUAGAAUGUUCUCCCUGUGCUGAGAAUUAUAUAUUUCUAUAUAUAUUGUUCCCUGUGUGGAGAAUCGUAUCCUCGUCAUCGGGAUAAAAGCUGGAUUCGGGAUCAAUUUGGACACCCAAUCCCUGAUCACACAGGCCAGGAGAGCCCAGCCUGGGGGGCAGCUCCACAAACUCCUUUAAAAUCCUCCUGACAGCUCAUCACAGGCUCAGGCUUCUCCCAGGAAAAAAAAUUCCUUAUGGAUUCAUUGCUUUGGGCUGGGAAAUCUUAAGAAAUGACUGAAUCAGAAAUUUGGAAAAAAUUAAAAAAGAAAAGCAGGAUUUGGGCAGGGUAUAAAAUAUGUGGCAUUAGAAAUUCCAAGCUCUACCACAACAAUUUGGGAAAAAUCUGGGAAAC